ACGGGAGGCAGCAGUGGGGAAUAUUGCACAAUGGGGGAAACCCUGAUGCAGCGACGCCGCGUGAGUGAAGAAGUAUUUCGGUAUGUAAAGCUCUAUCAGCAAGGAAGAAAAUGACGGUACUUGACUAAGAAGCCCCGGCUAACUACGUGCCAGCAGCCGCGGUAAUACGUAGGGGGCAAGCGUUAUCCGGAUUUACUGGGUGUAAAGGGAGCGUAGACGGUGAGGCAAGUCUGAAGUGAAAUGCGGAGGCUCAACCUCCGAACUGCUUUGGAAACUGUCUAACUUGAGUGCAGGAGAGGUAAGUGGAAUUCCUAGUGUAGCGGUGAAAUGCGUAGAUAUUAGGAGGAACACCAGUGGCGAGGGCGGCUUACUGGACUGUAACUGACGUUGAGGCUCGAAAGCGUGGGGAGCAAACAGGAUUAGAUACCCUGGUA
rnacentral:rRNA from 1 species